AGAGUAAAGGAAAGGAGGAAGAAAAAUAUAGUUUUUCCUCCUCCUCUCAUGAUGAAUAAAAGGGAGAAAUGAAAAAAAUGAGUUGGCAUUUUGCUCUCAUUCUCUCCUACUCUCUCUUUCACCGUGACUCUCCCUCCCUCUCCUCUUCUUGCCGAGACCAAGGAGCAAGGAAGCUCUCCUCUAGGAAGGAUUCACAAGCAAGGUUCCCUCCUUAGAGAAUUUAGUGAAGGAUAUAAAGGCAAGGAAUGGAUCAGUUAAGGGAAGCAGCAGGAAAGGCGAUGAAGAUGUGUGUGGAAGUGCUGGUGGAUAGAUCUAUUUAUGCUUUUGGGUUAUCUAAGUUAUACAUGUGAACAAUGUUGGACCUAUGCUUAUGAUAAUGUUCAGCUAGUAUGAUAUCCUACUCA